rnacentral:rRNA from 1 species
GACGAACGCUGGCGGCGCGCUUAACACAUGCAAGUCGAGCGAGAACCAGGGCUUCGGCUCUGGGGACAGCGGCGAACGGGUGAGUAACACGUGAGUAAUCUGCCCUCGACACUGGGAUAGCCCGGGGAAACCCGGAUUAAUACCGGAUAGCCUUUCGAGCUCUCGGGCUCGUCAGAAAAAGGAUGGCUUCGGCUUUCGGUUGAGGAUGAGCUUGCGGCGGAUUAGCUUGUUGGUGAGGAACGGCUCACCAAGGCGACAAUCCGUAGCUGGUCUGAGAGGACGAUCAACCACACUGGGACUGAGACACGGCCCAGACUCCUACGGGAGGCAGCAGUGGGGAAUCUUGCGCAAUGAGCGAAAGCUUGACGCAGCGACGCCGCGUGAGGGAAGAAGGCCU